rnacentral:tRNA from 1 species
GGUGCUGUGGCUUAGUUGGUUAAAGCGCCUGUCUUGUAAACAGGAGAUCCUGGGUUUGAAUCCCAGCAGUGCCU